rnacentral:rRNA from 1 species
AUACGGAGGAUGCAAGCGUUAUCCGGAUUUAUUGGGUUUAAAGGGUGCGUAGGCGGUUUGAUAAGUCAGCGGUGAAAUAUUUCAGCUUAACUGGAAGGGUGCCGUUGAUACUGUCGAGCUUGAAUUUAGUUGCUGUGGGUGGAAUGUGUGGUGUAGCGGUGAAAUGCAUAGAUAUCACACAGAAUAUCGAUUGCGAAGGCAGCUCACAAAGCUAAUAUUGACGCUGAUGCACGAAAGUGUGGGGAUCAAACAGGAUUAGAUACCCUGGUAGUCCACACUGUAAACGAUGAUAACUCGCUGUCGGCGAUACAUAGUCGGUGGCCAAGCGAAAGCGAUAAGUUAUCCACCUGGGGAGUACGACCGCAAGGUUGAAACUCAAAGGAAUUGACGGGG